GAUGAACGCUGGCGGCGUGCCUAAUACAUGCAAGUCGAGCGAACAGAUGAGGAGCUUGCUCCUUUGACGUUAGCGGCGGACGGGUGAGUAACACGUGGGUAACCUACCUAUAAGACUGGAAUAACUCCGGGAAACCGGGGCUAAUGCCGGAUAACAUUUAGAACCGCAUGGUUCUAAAGUGAAAGAUGGUUUUGCUAUCACUUAUAGAUGGACCCGCGCCGUAUUAGCUAGUUGGUAAGGUAACGGCUUACCAAGGCAACGAUACGUAGCCGACCUGAGAGGGUGAUCGGCCACACUGGAACUGAGACCCGGUCCAGACUCCUACGGGAGGCAGCAGUAGGGAAUCUUCCGCAAUGGGCGAAAGCCUGACGGAGCAACGCCGCGUGAGUGAUGAAGGUCUUCGGAUCGUAAAACUCUGUUAUUAGGGAAGAACAAAUGUGUAAGUAACUGUGCACGUCUUGACGGUACCUAAUCAGAAAGCCACGGCUAACUACGUG
rnacentral:rRNA from 1 species